rnacentral:rRNA from 1 species
AGCGCGCCCUUCGGGGUGAGCGGCGGACGGGCUAGUAACGCGUGGGAACGUACCCAGAUCUAAGGAAUAGCCACUGGAAACGGUGAGUAAUACCUUAUACGCCCUUCGGGGGAAAGAUUUAUCGGAUUUGGAUCGGCCCGCGUUAGAUUAGAUAGUUGGUGGGGUAACGGCCUACCAAGUCUACGAUCUAUAGCUGGUUUUAGAGGAUGAUCAGCAACACUGGGACUGAGACACGGCCCAGACUCCUACGGGAGGCAGCAGUGGGGAAUCUUGGACAAUGGGCGCAAGCCUGAUCCAGCCAUGCCGCGUGAGUGAUGAAGGCCUUAGGGUCGUAAAGCUCUUUCGCCAGGGAUGAUAAUGACAGUACCUGGUAAAGAAACCCCGGCUAACUCCGUGCCAGCAGCCGCGGUAAUACGGAGGGGGUUAGCGUUGUUCGGAAUUACUGGGCGUAAAGCGCGCGUAGGCGGGUUGUUAAGUUAGAGGUGAAAUCCCGGGGCUCAACCCCGGAACUGCCUUUAAUACUGGCAACCUAGAGUUCGAGAGAGGUGAGUGGAAUUCCGAGUGUAGAGGUGAAAUUCGUAGAUAUUCGGAGGAACACCAGUGGCGAAGGCGGCUCACUGGCUC